rnacentral:misc_RNA from 1 species
UACGUAGGGUGCGAGCGUUAAUCGGAAUUACUGGGCGUAAAGCGUGCGCAGGCGGCUUCGCAAGUCAGACGUGAAAGCCCCGGGCUUAACCUGGGAAUGGCGUUUGAAACUACGGAGCUAGAGUGUGGCAGAGGGAGGUAGAAUUCCACGUGUAGCAGUGAAAUGCGUAGAUAUGUGGAGGAAUACCGAUGGCGAAGGCAGCCUCCUGGGCCAACACUGACGCUCAUGCACGAAAGCGUGGGGAGCAAACAGG